UACUCUAAAACCUCUGUUCGCACAGUUAUACUCUUGCAGUUUCCAUCUCCGACCGAAUUGGUGGUAUCAUAUCAAAGAUGGAGUUCCUAUAUCCGGAAGGUCUUUGUUUAUAUGGUCGCCGUUUCAUGGAGUUUUCUUUCUCUCCUUACACAUACAACACGACUUACACUUCUUUCUUUCUACUUGCAUUAUUAUUCUGUUAAUAUACUUUUUUUACCUCCAACUGAUCGUUUUGUUUACUCUGAUUAUUUAUAGUAAUGCCUCUUUUGAAAUUGGUAUAUAAUACCAAGAGUAGUUAUUACUGCAGUUUAUGGUCCUAGGGAGGUAAAUUCCAAGUCUUACUCAAUCUGUCGAUUCGAUUCUUUUUAUGUUAUCAAUCAAAUUAUUUGUUGUUCUUUGGCAUUAAUCAAAAUAAAAUUUGUUAGUGAUAACAUAUUUCUACAUUUUCUUCCUAUCUUGAUUUUGAUUCAAAUUAUCUUUUUGCAUUCAUUAUCGUCAUAUUUUUUUGGGAGUUCUUUGGAUUCACGACAACUGCAAAAAAGAACAAGCCACAAUUCUUGGUUGAUCAGAAUUCAAUACUCCAGAGCAUGAGAGGACCUGAAUUUGCAACUACAUUUGGUUUUUGUGAACAGAGGUUUAGGAGGACUUUGGAUGCUUAAUAUGAGGCGGUAAUUUUGCCGCCGACUUUGGGUUUCUCCCUUGGAGGAGGAGGAAGAUGGGGAAGGAGGAGGAGAAAAGUGUGAUGAAGAUACCACAAUUGAUUAAGAGCUUAGGCAAUGACAUGAUCAUGGAAUUUGCUUAGGUUUAUUUUGAAGCUUUUUGUUCUUCUUGCUUAUAGAGACAAGUUGGUACGCGCAAGACAUGCAAAUCUCAAACUGCUGCAGUUCGAGGUUCAAUCAUCAUGAACAAAAAUUGUAAUUUUUGUUUAAACUAUAGAACAUAUGGAAAUUUAUAAAUAGUGUUCUAUAAGAAGUUGAUUUAAUGUUGGUAUAUUUUACUUCCUAAAAUAUAUGGUAGGUUUUACUUUGUAUUCAAAAAGGAGUCCUAAAAUAUUUGAUUAGAAGAAAUGAUGAAAAUAUGAUGUUUUUCUUUUCUUG